GGGGAAGUAGCUCAGUGGUAGAGCAGUAGUCGCACAAAGCGGAAUCUGAUUAAGAUUCUUUACCGCAAAUAAACGCAAAUUCAAACUGUUGGUCGCGGGUUCGAGUCCCGUCUUCCCCU
rnacentral:tRNA from 1 species